GAUAAGAUGGCUGAGUAAAGUGGUAAAUUGUAAAUUUAUUAAGAAGAAUUUUUUUCUUUCUUAUCA
rnacentral:tRNA from 1 species